CGCGUGGAGGAUUGAAGGCCCUCUGGGUUGUAAACUUCUUUUAUAUGGGAAGAAAARWGCUUUUUCUWGAUCACYUGACGGUACCAUAGGAAUAAGCACCGGCUAACUCCGUGCCAGCAGCCGCGGUAAUACGGAGGGUGCAAGCGUUAUCCGGAUUCACUGGGUUUAAAGGGUGCGUAGGUGGGYWGGUAAGUCAGUGGUGAAAUCUCCGAGCUUAACUUGGAAACUGCCAUUGAUACUAUCAGUCUUGAAUAUUGUGGAGGUAAGCGGAAUAUGUCAUGUAGCGGUGAAAUGCUUAGAUAUGACAUAGAACACCAAUUGCGAAGGCAGCUGRCUACACAUUUAUUGACACUGAGGCACGAAAGCGUGGGGAUCAAACAGGAUUAGAUACCCUGGUAGUCCACGCCCUAAACUAUGGAUACUCGACAUKUGCGAUACACWGUAAGYGUCUGAGCGAAAGCAUUAAGUAUCCCACCUGGGAAGUAC
rnacentral:rRNA from 1 species